GUUCUUCCAUUGCGGGGAAGGAUGAGAAGCGUCGACUAAGGUUCGAUUCGAGCGCAGCGAGAAAGCGUUGCCGCAGGCAACGACCCGAAGGGCGAGGCGCAGCCGCCAUCCUACGCUUUCAUUGA
rnacentral:sRNA from 1 species